CAAUGCAUUAGGAAUCUAAUGGUUCCAUCUACCAACAAAUCCAAUUUAAUUCGAUUACUUGUGAGCCUUGUUAUUCUGGUGAUUUUGAUUGUCAUAUGUUGUUGGGAAUUGAGUCCGAAAGACAAGCAAUUCUCUAAAAAACUGGAUCCCCAAAUGGAGCUCUUGGAAAGUAAAUUCCGGACACAAAUUUGAUAAGGAGGCGAAGGUGAAGAUGGAAGAAUCGCUGAAGAAAUCUGAAUGCGGAUAUAUAAUGCAUGCUAUUUUUUGAUUUUGAUAUAUGUUAAGCCUUUAUAGCUACUUUUUUGGUACCCAGACGUGGCGCCG